UAGGGAGGAGAAGGAGAGACAGCCUGGUGCGUGGUCUAGGCACCGGCUGCGCUGGAGAGGAGGAAACAGCAGGAGAGAGAACCCGGAGAGACAGCCUGGUACGGGGGGCAGCCACCGGAGGACUGGUACAUGGAGGUGGCACCGGGUCUACCGGACCGUGAAGGAGGACACGUGCUCUUGAGCACCGAGCCUCCCCAACCCUACCAGGUUGAAUGGACCCCGUAGCCCUGCCAGUGCGGCGAGGUGGAGUAGCCCGCACUGGGCUAUGCAGGCGAACCGGGGAUACCACCUGUAAGGCUGGUGCCAUGUACACCGGCCCGAGGAGACGUACUGGAGACCAGAUACGUUGGGCCGGCUUCAUGGCACUCGGCUCGAUGCUCGGCUCGAUGCCCAACCUAGCCCUCCCAGUGCGGCAAGGUGGAAUAGCCCGCACUGGGCUAAGCACGCGUACUGGGGACACCGUGCGCUCUACCGCAUAACACGGUCUCUUACCAGUACGACGCCUUCUACCUCCACGGUAAGCACGGGGAGUUUGCUCGGGUAUCUUACCCGGCUUUGCCACACUCCUCGUGUGCCCCCCCCCAAGAAAUAUUUUGGUCUUACUCACGGGCUCCCAACCGCGUCGUCUCGCUGCCUCCUCAUACCAGCGCCGCUCAGCCUUCGCUGCUUCCAAUUCCUCCUUUGGACGGCGAUAUUCCCCUGGUUGAGCCCAAGGUCCUCUACCGUUCAAGAUCUCCUCCCAAGUCCAGAAGUUCUUGUUGCUCCGUCGAGCAUUCCCAUACCGCUUGGUCUCUGUUUGUAGGUGGGUGAUUCUGUUAUGUCUUCGUCGCUGUCGAUGUAUUUCACUUUCGGGACUGUUUGGCUGUUCGUGUGUUUUGAUGUACGUUCCUGUCCGUAAGUUUACGUUAUGUAAUGUGAGUUUAUGUUCAGGUUUCGUUCUACGUCGUUUUGUUAUUUUGUAAAUUUUGAAAGUAUUUUGUUUUGUUUCGUGUUGCCAUCAGUUCAUCAUUUAUAAAUAAAAGAUGGCUUAUUUCCCUGACUCCGCAUUUUGGUCUGAAGAUCCUUCUCUCCUCACCUCAUCUGAGGAUGAGGAAAGCGACAGCCUUAACAGCUGGUAAAGAAAUUAUUACAAGCCAGCUGGCUGAUGAUACUACACUUUUUCUGAAAGACGCUAACCAAAUUCCCAUAUCGAUCAAUGUGAUACAAUCCUUUUCCAAAGCGUCUGGUCUAUACCUUAACAUUAAUAAAUGUGAACUCAUAGCUGUCAAAGAUUGUGUGACACCUUCAUAUUAUGGUAUUCCAGUAAAAGAAGAACUUACAUAUUUAGGCAUAACCAUUACAAAGGAUCAGAAGUCUAGAGGCUUACUAAAUUUUAACCCUCUUAUUAAAAAACCCCAGAAGAAGCUAAAUCAAUGGCUACAGAGGGACUUAUCUUUAAAAGGAAGAGUACUAAUAACCACGGCUGAAGGUAUCUCUAGACUAACAUAUUGCGCUCUGUCUUUAUAUCUUGACAGUAAAAUAAGCAAGGAGAUAGACCAGAUGCUUUUCAACUUUCUUUGGAGAAACCGUCCCCAUUACAUUAGGAAAACUGUUGUAAUGAACACUUCUGGACUUUACUACUUUAAAUAAUACUUUUAAGAUCAAUUGGAUAAAACAAUUCCUAAGAAGACCCACUUCUAUCUGGAAUUUUAUUCCUCAUCAUGUUUUCUCUACUUUUGGUGGCCUUAACUUCAUGUUGUUGUGCAAUUUUAAUAUUGACAACAUUCCAGUGAAACUUUCUGCUUUUCAUCGGCAGGUUUUCUUGUCAUGGUCCUUAAUUUAUAAACACAAUUUUUCUCCACACAGAUAUUAUAUAUGGAAUAAUCGGGAUAUAUUGUAUAAAAAUACUUCUUUGUUUUUAGAAUAUUGGUUCCGAAAUAAUAUCCUAUUGGUGAGCCAACUGGUAAAUGCAGAGGGUCUUUUACUCAGUUAUAAGGAAUUCUUAUCUCUGUACAAGGUCCCCGUAACACCUAAAGAUUUUGCAAUUGUAUUAGACGCCAUUCCCUCAGGUGUUGCUCUGUUAUUCAGGAACGUGUCAAGGCUUGACCCUCAGAGCCGACCUUCUAUUGACACUGUUGACUCAUCAGUAGGAAAGAUUUGUUUCUUUUGGUCCAUUCAACAACAGAGCGAUACGAACCUUGUUUCAGCAGGAUGUUGUAUCUAUACCUUAUGUCAUGCCUUAUUGGACUGGAUUUAUUGAUAAUAUCUGUUGGAAAAAAAGUUUGGAUGUUGCCACACACAUACCUACUGGUUAACAAAAUUAAGGAGGUUUCCUUUAAAAUGAUUCAUAAAUAUUACCCUGCCAACCACUAUAUGAAGAAGUUUAAGGAAAACAUCAACUCAAAUUGCUCCUUUUGUAAUGACCACCCAGAAACAGUGUUGCAUCUUUUUUGGCAUUGUAUACAUGUAAGAAAACUGUGGCAAGACAUCAGUAGGUUUAUAAUUGAACACAUUUAUGAAGAUUUUACACUAUUGUGGAGAGAUGUACUGCUUGGAUUCUUUACCUACGAUAAUAAGCUGAAACAUUUUUAUGUAAUUAAUUUCAUUAUUCUUUUGGCCAAAUUUCAUAUACACAAAUGUAAAUUUACUAACAAAAAAACACAUUUUCUUUCCCUACAAAAAGAAAUUGAACUGUAUUUUUUUUGUUGUUGUUGUUGUUGUUUCGCCCACCAGCAAGGAGUUUUUGUUUGGCCAAUGAGAGAUUGUCGAAUUUGGUCAAUAAAAAAAAAAUGGAUCGCUUAUUUGCUUUAAGGUUUAUUCGAUCGAGGUUUAUUUGAUCGAAUAGAAGUUCGUAAUGCUUAAGUUGUUAUGAGUGUACUGAAGUAAGUAGGAGACGUAACAUCCAGGCAACGUUGAGAAAAACACUUUAUAUCGAAAUUGUCUCUCUCCAUUGAAUAUAGGCGGAUGACGUCAACAACCAUCGUCGAAUAUUCAAAAAAUUAUUACGAUAACAAAAGAUUUAAGUGGCUUGGAACAGCUAUGUCAGUAGGUGCCAGGUGCACCAGUCUGGUUCAACAACUGCAACGCAGCUGGGCUUUUCAUGCUCAACAGUUUCACGUGUGUAUCAUGAAUACACCACCCAAAGGACAUCCAGCCAACUUGACACAACUGUGGGUAGCAUUGGAGUCAACAUGGGCCAGCAUCCGUGUGGAACGCUUUUGACACCUUGUACUGUAGAGUCCAUGCCCUGACAAAUUGAGACAGAUCUGAGGGCAAAAGAAAUAAUGAUUAGUACAGCAUGCCAAACUGACCCCUGGGUGUCAAAGUGUUCCUGUGCCUCGGUGGAGAAGAGGUUCACCGGGGCCAUCACUAAAGAGCUCGAGGCCUAGCUAGACUGCGCUCACCACCGCCACAGAUGGAGCUGACAGAGAGAACGAGUGAGAUGAGGGAAGACCAGGAUCCGCUGUAUGAAACCGAGAGCUCAGAAUUACAAUCAUCACAGUGCGAGCUAAGAUAUACUAUCAACGAGUGUGUGCAAGAUCUGAAACAGCAUGCUGAAGGAGUUGUUCAUGAGCCAGGCUGUCGAGCACAUUUAAUCAGUUCAUCCCUGAAAAUAAAUGUUUUUUCCAUCACCAUGGAGACCGAGUGUGUUGUGGACCACAGGAGGAAGUUGGAGUCCCAGACCAGAGUGGGAAAUGUUUGCAGGGAAUCUGUUGGUACCAUCACCGGUCUUCCUAACUGGCGGCUCCCACUCCACAUUUGUGGAAACAUGUUGCCUCCUCAGCCUGGUGUCCAUGUCACUGCGACAGUUUGCAAACCAACCUCGCAUCUACAUUGUGCCAGAGGUUACACACAUGUGGAACCAGCACACAGAGGCGAUUCUGGCUAGAAUUGGUGACAGUCCACUGAUUGUAUCUGGAGACGCACGGCGUGAUUCGCCAGGCCAAUGUGCCUUCUUUGGCACUUACACCAUCCUGGACUCUGCUUCCCACCUGAUCCUGCCCAGGAUCAGGUGUGCAUGUGCAUGUGACCCAAUUGAAGAAUGGCUACUGGUUGGACAGAGGGACAGAGGGAUUAGUGAGAUGCCUGCAACACAUCAUUUUUUUAAUGAACCUUCAUGUGUAAACAUUGAGAUAAAACUAUUUUACAAGAGAGCCCUGUAUACGCUUACAAAUAAAACGCAAUACAUAAAUAAAACACAACAGCCCGACAAAACACACUAUAGUAAAACACAUAAUACACACCAUUAAACAUAUUUAAGAAAAGCAAUCGCAUAUUGAAACAUAAAAGUUAUUUUAAAAUUAUUUUGAGGUAAGCUAUAGCCUAACCUAUAUUUUGUAGCUAGCCUAAGGGUUGUAAGUGUGUAUUUGGUGGAUGUAUGAAGAGCACUUAGGUACCCUUUUAGUAAUAAUACUUUUGUUAUUUUCCUAACAGGCCCAUGGAUGCAGUAUUGAAACCCUGGCCACUGACAGGCAUCCACAUGUGAGGGUGCACUUGAGGGACUCCUAUGCUCAUACAGUAUCUGGCAUGAGUAUGAGCUUUUGGCACAUGGCCAAAGGUGUGAGGAAAAAGCCGGUGGCCGUCGGGAAGCCAGAGGUACUGCCAUGGGCGAGGGCAUUAACACACCACUUGCGGUACUGUGCCGCCUGGUGGGAGUGUCCAGGUGCUAAAAGAAAAGUGGAUCACCACAGUUCACCACGUUACGAAUGAGCACCACUCAACUGCUGUGAGCACCCCCCCCCCCCC